rnacentral:rRNA from 1 species
AUUGAACGCUGGCAGCAGGCCUAACACAUGCAAGUCGAACGGUAACAGGAAACAGCUUGCUGUUUCGCUGACGAGUGGCGGACGGGUGAGUAAUGUCUGGGAAACUGCCUGAUGGAGGGGGAUAACUACUGGAAACGGUAGCUAAUACCGCAUAACGUCGCAAGACCAAAGAGGGGGACCCUCGGGCCUCUUGCCAUCGGAUGUGCCCAGAUGGGAUUAGCUUGUUGGUGGGGUAACGGCUCACCAAGGCGACGAUCCCUAGCUGGUCUGAGAGGAUGACCAGCCACACUGGAACUGAGACACGGUCCAGACUCCUACGGGAGGCAGCAGUGGGGAAUAUUGCACAAUGGGCGCAAGCCUGAUGCAGCCAUGCCGCGUGUAUGAAGAAGGCCUUCGGGUUGUAAAGUACUUUCAGCGGGGAGGAAGGGAGUAAAGUUAAUACCUUUGCUCAUUGACGUUACCCGCAGAAGAAGCACCGGCUAACUCCGUG